rnacentral:lncRNA from 1 species
AUGGGUUGCAGCUGUGUUUCUUGUCUGUUGAAGUUUGUUGCUUGGUCAGGACUGAAAGGCAGCUUCCAUCUUAACCUUGACAAGGAGCCUGGUGAAGCCAGGACACAAGUUCUUUUUCGCUCCCUUCUGGCUUGAUCUCCCACAGCUUGUCUACCACCAUAGAGUGAAAAACUAAAAAAGUGCUGAAGGUACAUCUACUUCUACAACACCCUAUGAGAAAUUCCAGAAGACAACUAUAGACUAGACUGUUUAAAAAACAAAACAAAAAACACACAAAAUAAAACAACAAAAUAAAGUUGAGAGAAGCA